rnacentral:rRNA from 1 species
GGGCCUACGGGACGCAGCAGUGGGGGAUAUUGCACAAUGGGGGAAACCCUGAUGCAGCGACGCCGCGUGGGUGAAGAAGCGCCUCGGCGCGUAAAGCCCUGUCAGCAGGGAAGAAAAUGACGGUACCUGAAGAAGAAGCCCCGGCUAACUACGUGCCAGCAGCCGCGGUAAUACGUAGGGAGCGAGCGUUGUCCGGAAUUACUGGGUGUAAAGGGAGCGUAGGCGGGGAUGCAAGUUGGGUGUCAAAACUACCGGCUCAACUGGUAGUCGCACUCAAAACUGCAGCUCUUGAGUGAAGUAGAGGG